GACGAACGCUGGCGGUGUGCUUAACACAUGCAAGUCGAGCGAUGAAACACCUUCGGGUGUGAAUUAGCGGCGAACGGGUGAGGAACACGUGAAGAAUCUGCCUUCAACUCUGGGAUAACUCCGGGAAACCGGGGCUAAUACCGCGUGAGACCACGUCCCCGCAUGGGGAUGGGGUUAAAGCUCCGCAAGGGGCGCUUGAAGAGGAGUUCACGGCCUAUCAGCUUGUUGGUGAGGUAACGGCUUACCAAGGCUACGACGGGUAGGCGGUCUGAAAGGACGACCGCCCACAAUGGCACUGAGACACGGGCCAUACUCCUACGGGAGGCAGCAGUGGGGAAUUUUGCGCAAUGGGGGAAACCCUGACGCAGCGAUGCCGCGUGGAGGAUGAAGGUCUUCGGAUUGUAAACUCCUUUUGCAGGGGAAAAAACCCGGUGUGAAUAACACCGAUUGAUUGUACUCUGCGAAUAAGCCACGGCUAACUUCGUGCCAGCAGCCGCGGUAAGACGAAGGUGGCGAGCGUUACUCGGAAUUACUAGGCGUAAAGCGUGGGCAGGUGGUUCGGUAAGUCUGUUGUGAAAGCUCCUGGCUUAACUGGGAGAGGCCAAUGGAUACUGCCGGACUUGAAUAUGGGAGAGGUAACUGGAAUUCCUGGUGUAGCGGUGAAAUGCGUAGAUAUCAGGAGGAACACCAAUGGCGAAAGCAGGUUACUGGACCAUUAUUGACACUCAUCCACGAAAGCUAGGGGAUCAAACAGGAUUAGAUACCCUGGUAGUCCUAGCUGUAAACGAUGCUCACUAGGUGUGGGAGGUAUCGACCCCUUCCGCGCCGACGCUAACGCAUUAAGUGAGCCGCCUGGGGAGUACGGCCCGCAGGUUG
rnacentral:rRNA from 1 species